GACGAACGCUGGCGGCGUGCUUAACACAUGCAAGUCGAACGGAAAGGCCUUUUCGGAGGUACUCGAGUGGCGAACGGGUGAGUAACACGUUGGUGAUCUGCCCUGCACUCUGGGAUAAGCCUGGGAAACUGGGUCUAAUACCGGAUAGGACCGCACUUUAGUGUGUGUGGUGGAAAGUUUUUUCGGUGUAGGAUGAGCCCGCGGCCUAUCAGCUUGUUGGUGGGGUAAUGGCCUACCAAGGCGGCGACGGGUAGCCGGACUGAGAGGUUGGUCGGCCACAUUGGGACUGAGAUACGGCCCAGACUCCUACGGGAGGCAGCAGUGGGGAAUAUUGCACAAUGGGCGCAAGCCUGAUGCAGCGACGCCGCGUGGGGGAGGACGGCCUUCGGGUUGUAAACUCCUUUCGCCAGGGACGAAGCGUUUUGUGACGGUACCUGGAGAAGAAGCACCGGCUAACUACGUG
rnacentral:rRNA from 1 species